rnacentral:lncRNA from 1 species
CCCACAUCUGGGAUCCUAGCUGCAGCUGGGCCUAGUUAGCCUCAUUGUCCUCCUCCCCACACAGGGACGAAGAGAUGACCCAGAGAACCCAGAUUGUUGCCAUUUUUUUUUUCUCAUUCUCACCCCAUUUUCCACCAUCUCUGGAGACUCUGCCACCCAGGAAGCUAGGGAAAGAUGGAGAAGUGAGGGGGGUGUGGGAGUGGGGGCUGGGUGAUGAGUUACAGCCAGGAAGUACCAGAGGUUGCGAGCAUGAGCUGGAUCAGAGCCCAGUGUUCUCAUCCCAGAGAAACAGGCCCGGAGCUGCUCCAACCCCCCAUCCACAUUCCCCCUCUCCCGGAUCCGCCUGUUCCUUCAUUUCCUUCCUCUGACCAGUAAUUUCUUUUGGUGCUGGAGGUUGAACCCAGAACCACUUGAACGCUUACCACGUGCUCUUUCUCCGACCUACACACCAAGGCUGGGUCUAAUCUAAUCUUCAGAGGAGUGUACAUGUCCCAUCUGCUCUUUACCUCUGGGGGACCUCUAGGUAUCCUCGCCCGGCCCGAGAACGAGCACCAGGUGGGCCGGCACGAGGGCGAACACCAGGUGAGCCGGCCUGGAGCCCUGCCCCUGAGCCCCCGCCCGAUGAGAAACACUCUGUCCCAAGGUCUCCGCCCCCAAGGUCAGCCAUCUGGACGCGGAGGGAGAGGGAAUUGAGUCUGUUGUACCAGACACCAGACCUUGAGAAUAUGCUGAUCUGGAAUGGCUCUGUGUCUCAUUUGAACCAUCCAAUAGAAAUGAUUCUGUAUUUCGCCUCAUUUGAAAGACUCUGUGUUUCACCUCAUUUGAAUAACUCUGUACUUUGCCUCAUUUGAAUAACCCUGUAUAGCGCCUCAUAUACAUUGACCAAUGGGAAUAGCUCUGUACAAUGCCUCAUUAGAAUUAUCCAAUAGAAUCCCUGCUCCUAGCUUGCGCC